rnacentral:rRNA from 1 species
GGUGGCAAAGUCGUAUCCUUCCAUCUCCGCUCAGCUUUGGCCUUGAUGUCACUACAAGUCGUUGGACUGGAUGCUGGCGACCUGGGACUGGAUGCUGGUGGCGAGGAGAUGGGGACGAGGAAGGAGGAGUGUGGCUUUGGGGGAGGUCCGGACGCGGUUGGUGACGACGAAGGAGAAGACGAUGAAGACACGGCAGAGGGACCCCGCGAGCCCCGCGAGGGAUAGCGCCGGGAGCAGCGCCUCCAGCGCGAUGACCGGCCACUCCAGGAACCGCUCGCAGAUGCCGCCGCCUAGGAUGACAAGGGAGAGGACCAGGACCCCCACUCGCGGUCGAUGGUGGCGACCAUGUCCAUGACGGCCUCCGUCUCGGGCCAGUUGGAUCUGAGAGUGGGGAGAGGGGAGAGGAUAUGAGAUGGGGAGAGGAGGGAUCUGGAUCGGGAGCACGAUGGGGAAGGCGCCGCCGCCGAGGGGACGGGAGGCGGAUGAGAGUGUGAGGGGAACACCGGAGGAGUGGGGUGGGAGCGGCGGCGCGUCGAGAUCCAGAGGGAGGGAGUGGGGUUGGGGGCGGCGGCGCGGGGAGAGUGAGGUGGGUGGGCGCGUGAGGUGGGUGGCGGAUCU